CAGGGAAUCUUGCGCAAUGGGCGAAAGCCUGACGCAGCGACACCGCGUGGGGGAAGAAGGCCUCAGGGUUGUAAACCCCUUUUCUGGGGGAAGAGAUAGGACGGUACCUCAGGAAUAAGCAUCGGCUAACUACGUGCCAGCAGCCGCGGUAAUACGUAGGAUGCAAGCGUUGUCCGGAUUUACUGGGCGUAAAGGGUGUGUAGGCGGCAUGUUAAGUCUCAUGUGAAAUCUCCCGGCUCAACUGGGAGGGGUCAUGGGAAACUGGCAAGCUGGAGGGCAGCAGAGGAAAGCGGAAUUCCGGGAGUAGUGGUGGAAUGCGUAGAUACCCGGAGGAACACCAGAGGCGAAGGCGGCUUUCUGGGCUGUACCUGACGCUGAGACACGAAAGCGUGGGGAGCAAACCGGAUUAGAUACCCCCGUAGUCC
rnacentral:rRNA from 1 species